GACAGAGGGGGCAAGCGUUGCUCGGAAUUACUGGGCGUAAAGGGCGCGUAGGCGGGAUGGCAAGUCGGUCGUGAAAUCCCUCGGCUCAACUGAGGAGCGUCGAUCGAAACUGCCGUUCUUGAGGGUUGCAGAGGAGACUGGAAUUCCCGGUGUAGCGGUGAAAUGUGUAGAGAUCGGGAGGAACACCGGUGGCGAAGGCGGGUCUCUGGGCAACUCCUGACGCUGAGGAGCGAAAGCGUGGGGAGCGAACAGG
rnacentral:rRNA from 1 species